CAGUCCACCGAGGGGUUAAAACUAGCACAAAAAAGCCGAGGAAAUAGACUCAUAAAACGAAGUAAAGGUUAAAAACGUUGUUGAACUUUCUCCAACUUAAAAAGAGAAAGUGACAAUAAAAAAAAAAAGGAGUGGAGAGACAAGCGCUCUCCUCAGGCGUCCUUGCGUGUGUGCGAGGAGGAGGAAGCCAGUCGGCGGUUACCUGACUCCGGCGGUCCUUAAAAUCAGCUGAGUGCUCCUGUUGGAAAGUGUCAAGACUUGGACUAUGGUGCAGUUUACUGCAUGGAUUGUUUUCCCGAGAUGCAAAAGAACUGGACCGGACAUGGCGUGAAGGGUGGUGGAGCUUUUUGCAUGGAAGAUGACUGAUAUCUUACUGGUGAUUAGCUCCCACAACUACUGCACAGGUAGGAGCCUGCAACAUUCAGUAUUCAGGAAAGCCAUGAUCUGUAUGCAGGAGACUCCAUCACAAGUUCAAAGUACAGUAGUCCACAGCUUAAAAUAUAUUGAAAAUGACCCCCUUCUUCACAUGAUUGAAUCCCUAUGAGGAUUUGUGGGUUAUUCCCAAACGUGUGCUUUACAGCGAGGCAAGAUAAUACACCUCCUUGAAGAGUAUCUGGCAGGCAGCGAUUGCUGCUUCAGCGAAACUUGACCAUGAACUGAUUAAGAAACUCCACAGAACGAUGGCUGUGAUUAAAAAAAAUAGGGUGCCUAUAUACGUCAGUCAAUAUGCGUGAAAGGCCUACAUUUUAACUGAAGGGGACUGCACUUUUUUGGAAUGUUUCCUAUCGUUCACAAUCAUUAUGAGAGAUGAGAACACAUGUCUUUUUUUCAGGAUUUUAAAGAUGAUAAACGCUUGGAAGAUGUGGCUAAUGGUAGUCACCGUUGUAGUCUUCAAAGCCCACUAAUACAACUUCAAAACCCCCCAACGUUUUUAAUACACUCUGCAAGUUUAUAUGCAAUGUUGGUUGGUUGGUGUCAGUUUAUUUCGAACAUGCAUACAAUUACAAUGUAAUGCAUCACAUAUUUCCAAAAAGGAGUAGGAAGAAGCAGAGCUUAUUUAAUCUUCCCCCUUUUCGUAUCAUAGCAGUUUUACCGCUUUGUUUGUUCUCUAUUUGUAACACAUUUAAUAAAUGAAUGAGUAAAUCAAUAAAUGAAUAUACAAUGAGUAAGUAAAUAAUUAUUAAACACAAUAAAAUAAAAAUAAAAAAGUUCUCAUAAAUAAAUAGUUAAGCGAUUUGUGGUUCACGUAUGAGAUUAUUAAGAUUUUUUUUUUUUUUUUUUUAAAUAAGGUCCAAGACUUUUAUCAAGAUUCUUCUUCUUUGUACAUUUUGAACACAUUGAGUUUAACAGUUUCUUAAACUGGAUCAUAGUUUGACUUCCUUGCGUAAUCCAUUCCAUAAUUUAAUUCCACAUAUAAUGAUAUGCUGAAAGUGUUAUAUAUGCAUACGGAUGUGUAAAUUAUAUUUUUCUCUGAGGUUAUAUUUCUCCUCCUUAUAAAAGUGACAAUGUCAAGUCAAAGUACAGAGCAGCACAAACACCACUGAUUUGUAGAGCGCACUCCAGGCCUGAAGGGGCAACAGUGAGAGCUGAGGGCUGAACAUCUCCACCUGCUCAGAGCACAUGGUCAAAAUGUUUGCUCUUCAGUCAGUCACCCCUUUGACAUGCUGCUAAGAGGAAGGAAGACAGCUCCUGUGUGGACUCUGAAGACGCAACUGGUUAUCAACCUAUCCGCUAUUUGCCUAUCCACUAUUCCCCUAUCUACUAUUCAACCCCAACUAUUCACCUAUUCUGCUAUUCAGCUAUUCAACCAUCCCACUAUUCCACUAUUCAACUACUCAUUCUGUUCAUCCAUUCAUUUACAUCGAUAACCCACUUUAUUUUACUGCUUCAAAUCAAACAUCAAUAAAUCACAAAGAAAAAGGAUCGAGUUGUCCCUUUGAGUCCUUCUUGAGUCCAACUGGCCCUUUCAAGUUUGGGCAUAGCUGUGAAAAACCUGAAGAACUUGACAGACAAUAACAGUUAAAAAAAUAUGUAGGGUAGUAAAAUAUGUUCUAAAUAAUCUUAUUAAAAUAAAAAAUAAUGUCACAAAUUAGUAACAGACACGUUCAUAGCAAUAUGUAAUAUGCACAAUAUUUACCCUAUUUUAGUCAUUUUAAUCAUUGCAGGAACUAAUUCCUCGACGCAUUUAUUUACGUUUCCAUAACAGUCCACUUCCGACUUCUGGCAACAAAUGUGUGUCCUACUUCCGGAAACAAACACAAGUGUGUUUUCUAAUCAUGGUAGACUUAGUAAUAGAGAACAAAGACAACUAUUUUUGGACAAAUGAGGAUUCACAACCCUAUUUUUUUGAAGCUGAAUAUAUGGAGGAAGAACUGCUGCUUACAGAAGCGAGCACAAAGGAAGAGCGAGACCUUUGUACAGACGGAAGCCGAGAGAGAGUGAUGUGAAAAGUGUGUUUUUGCCGUUGUAAAUUUUUGCUAUUGCGACAUACUGUAAAUGGAUUGCUAACCAAAAUAAACCGAAAAAAACAUUCCCGGACAGCUGGACCAAAUACACAACUGUCCAUCGAGUGAGUCACACUUUAAUAGUCUACAUGAUACAUUCAGCACGUCAUGUGUUUUAUUACAACUAUAGUACACACGCUGUUUGGCUCGCUGUGUAAAACAAAACAUGAAAUGUUGGCUAAUACUUUACAGAUAUUGUAAUAUGAUUGUUCAUGUUUUUCAGUCAGUACAGAAUGGUGUUCUAUCACAUUGUGUUGUGCAUUACAAACUCAAACGUGUUUCGUGCUGACGUGAAAGCUAACUUAUCUCUUUCCGUUGUUAGCUUUUACGGCUAAUACCGAAGCAUGGCGAUGUGUUACUACGCUGGAAAAAGAGUUCCUCAGUGUUCGCUCUUACAAUAACAAUGUCGCUACAGUUUUGUUAUUAUACAGGUUAGGGAACGUAAAUAAAGUAUUGUUGACAAUUUUGGAAUACAUUUUUUAAAGUGAUUUAGAGGUAGAAUUGAUUGUUCCCAAUAGUUGUACUGCUAGCCACCAAGAACGAGUACAUUUUUACAUGUUACAAUGAAAAUUUUUUAAAAUAAUUUUGUGUUCUUGUCUCUCAUAAUGAUUGUGAACGAUAGGCAAAAUUCCCGAAAAAAGUGCAGUUCCCCUUCAAGUGAUGGUUAUUUUAGGGCUGUCAAAAAUAACAAGUUAAUUAAAAAAAACUAAUCACAAACAAUGAUUGCAUUAAUCACCUGCACUGGCUUCCUGUGCACUUAAGAUGCGACUUUAAGGUUUUACUACUUACGUAUAAAAUACUACACGGUUUAGCUCCAGCCUAUCUCGCCGAUUGUAUUGUACCAUAUGUCCCGACAAGAAAUCUGCGUUCAAAGAACUCCGGCUUAUUAGUGAUUCCCAGACAAAAAAAAAAGUCUGCGGGCUAUAGAGCGUUUUCUAUUCGGGCUCCAGUACUCUGGAAUGCCCUCCCGGUAACAGUUAGAGAUGCUACCUCAGUAGAAGCAUUUAAGUCCCAUCUUAAAACUCAUUUGUAUAAUCUAGCCUUUAAAUAGACCCCCCUUUUUUAGACCAGUUGAUCUGCCGUUUCUUUUCUUCUCUCCUCUUCUCCCCUGUCCCUUGCGAGGGGGAGUUGCAUAGGUCCGGUGGCCAUGGAUGAAGUGCUGGCUGUCCAGAGUCGGGACCCCGGGUGGACCACUAGCCUGUGCAUCGGUUGGGGACAUCUCUGCGCUGCUGACCCGUCUCCGCUCGGGAUGGUUUCCUGUUGGCCCCGCUGUGGACUGGACUCUCGCUGAUGUGUUGGAUCCACUGUGGACUGGACUUUCACAAU